CUUAUGUAGUGCUGUAAAGAAAAAACAAUGGGUGGUCAGGAUUCAUAACGACAUACUCAAGUUACAAAGACGGAUUAAUACGUUGCACGGUAUCUGCUUUGAUCUUUGUGCUCCUGAUCAACCCUGUCGGUUCGUCUCGGAUUAUUCCUUCGGACUGUUCCCGUGUCUGUGUUUAUGGCUCCUGUGUGCAACUUGUCCCUGUCCUCUUCCAGUCCACGUCGUGCCUAAGUGAUUUUUUGCACGUACCUUGUAGGUCUCGGGCAGACACUCAAUCAUGUCUAUUAUGGGACAUUGCUGGCUUGAGCCAGGUAUGAACAGUCUCAACGCCUCGUCGCAUCUGGGAGAAGAAAUACUGAAAUCAAUCUUAAAACCUUUUUCAGUAACAGUAGACAUUAAAAAAUCAUGUCCUUUGUGAUGUCCCUCAAGACUUUUUCAAAGAUAAUGAUGGCAUCAAUCCAAACUGUUUCCAGCCGGAAUGAACGAUGGUAUUGGUCGCGUUAUACCUCCGCACAUGGUGAAUUGAAACUGUUGACUCUCUGGCAGAAAGCAUGUAAUUCAAAUUGGGUCAUUUCGAAUCUUUAUCAGAGGGGGUGUGUUAUAUCUUAUGGGUUGAGGAAGUUCUCCUGCUCCUUAAAUCCAAUAAACAAUUAAAAACCCAUCAGAAUACUUGAAGAAAUGCAUGGUGGCGAAGCUGACAAAAGGCUUGUUUGACUUAAAUGAAAUGUGAAUAAAAAAUUGCUAUUUCAUGGAACAGCAUUGCGGGAUAAA